GAUGAACGCUGGCGGCGUGCCUAAUACAUGCAAGUCGAGCGAACGGACGAGAAGCUUGCUUUUCUGAUGUUAGCGGCGGACGGGUGAGUAACACGUGGAUAACCUACCUAUAAGACUGGGAUAACUUCGGGAAACCGGAGCUAAUACCGGAUAAUAUUUUGAACCGCAUGGUUCAAAAGUGAAAGACGGUCUUGCUGUCACUUAUAGAUGGAUCCGCGCUGCAUUAGCUAGUUGGUAAGGUAACGGCUUACCAAGGCAACGAUGCAUAGCCGACCUGAGAGGGUGAUCGGCCACACUGGAACUGAGACACGGUCCAGACUCCUGCGGGAGGCAGCAGUAGGGAAUCUUCCGCAAUGGGCGAAAGCCUGACGGAGCAACGCCGCGUGAGUGAUGAAGGUCUUCGGAUCGUAAAACUCUGUUAUUAGGGAAGAACAUAUGUGUAAGUAACUGUGCACAUCUUGACGGUACCUAAUCAGAAAGCCACGGCUAACUACGUG
rnacentral:rRNA from 1 species